rnacentral:rRNA from 1 species
GAGUUACUAGUAAUCGCAGAUCAGAAUGCUGCGGUGAAUGCGUUCCCGGGUNUUGUACACACCGCCCGUCACACCACGGGAGUUGGAGACGCCCGAAGCCGAUUAUCUAACCUUUUGGAAGAAGUCGGCGAAGGUGGAAUCAAUAACUGGGGUGAAGUCGUAACAAGGUAGCCGUAUCGGAAGGUGCGGCUGGAUCACCUCCUUUCUAAGGAGA